rnacentral:rRNA from 1 species
GGGCUAGCGUUGCUCGGAAUCACUGGGCGUAAAGGGUGCGUAGGCGGGUCUUUAAGUCAGGGGUGAAAUCCUGGAGCUCAACUCCAGAACUGCCUUUGAUACUGAAGAUCUUGAGUUCGGGAGAGGUGAGUGGAACUGCGAGUGUAGAGGUGAAAUUCGUAGAUAUUCGCAAGAACACCAGUGGCGAAGGCGGCUCACUGGCCCGAUACUGACGCUGAGGCACGAAAGCGUGGGGAGCAAACAGG